rnacentral:rRNA from 1 species
GACGAACGCUGGCGGCGUGCUUAACACAUGCAAGUCGAACGGAAAGGCCCUGCUUUUGUGGGGUGCUCGAGUGGCGAACGGGUGAGUAACACGUGAGUAACCUGCCCUUGACUUUGGGAUAACUUCAGGAAACUGGGGCUAAUACCGGAUAGGAGCUCCUGCUGCAUGGUGGGGGUUGGAAAGUUUCGGCGGUUGGGGAUGGACUCGCGGCUUAUCAGCUUGUUGGUGGGGUAGUGGCUUACCAAGGCUUUGACGGGUAGCCGGCCUGAGAGGGUGACCGGCCACAUUGGGACUGAGAUACGGCCCAGACUCCUACGGGAGGCAGCAGUGGGGAAUAUUGCACAAUGGGCGGAAGCCUGAUGCAGCAACGCCGCGUGCGGGAUGACGGCCUUCGGGUUGUAAACCGCUUUCGCCUGUGACGAAGCGUGAGUGACGGUAAUGGGUAAAGAAGCACCGGCUAACUACGUGCCAGCAGCCGCGGUGAUACGUAGGGUGCGAGCGUUGUCCGGAUUUAUUGGGCGUAAAGGGCUCGUAGGUGGUUGAUCGCGUCGGAAGUGUAAUCUUGGGGCUUAACCCUGAGCGUGCUUUCGAUACGGGUUGACUUGAGGAAGGUAGGGGAGAAUGGAAUUCCUGGUGGAGCGGUGGAAUGCGCAGAUAUCAGGAGGAACACCAGUGGCGAAGGCGGUUCUCUGGGCCUUUCCUGACGCUGAGGAGCGAAAGCGUGGGGAGCGAACAGGCUUAGAUACCCUGGUAGUCCACGCUGUAAACGGUGGGUACUAGGUGUGGGGUCCAUUCCACGGGUUCCGUGCCGUAGCUAACGCUUUAGGUACCCCGCCUGGGGAGUACGGCCGCAAGGCUAAAACUCAAAGGAAUUGACGGGGCCCCGCACAAGCGGCGGAGCAUGCGGAUUAAUUCGAUGCAACGCGUAGAACCUUACCUGGGUUUGACAUGGAUCGGGAGUGCUCAGAGAUGGGUGUGCCUCUUUUGGGGUCGGUUCACAGGUGGUGCAUGGCUGUCGUCAGCUCGUGUCGUGAGAUGUUGGGUUAAGUCCCGCAACGAGCGCAACCCUUGUUCACUGUUGCCAGCACGUUAUGGUGGGGACUCAGUGGAGACCGCCGGGGUCAACUCGGAGGAAGGUGGGGAUGACGUCAAGUCAUCAUGCCCCUUAUGUCCAGGGCUUCACGCAUGCUACAAUGGCUGGUACAGAGAGUGGCGAGCCUGUGAGGGUGAGCGAAUCUCGGAAAGCCGGUCUCAGUUCGGAUUGGGGUCUGCAACUCGACCUCAUGAAGUCGGAGUCGCUAGUAAUCGCAGAUCAGCAACGCUGCGGUGAAUACGUUCCCGGG